rnacentral:rRNA from 1 species
AUUGAACGCUGGCGGCGUGCCUAACACAUGCAAGUCGAGCGGUAACAGGUGUAGCAAUACAUGCUGACGAGCGGCGGACGGGUGAGUAACGCUUGGGAAUCUGCCUAUUAAUGGGGGACAACCCGGGGAAACGUCGGGCUAAUACCGCAUACGCACUACGGUGGAAAGCCGGGGACCGGCAAGGCCUGGCGCUAACAGAUGAGCCCAAGUCGGAUUAGCUAGUUGGUAGGGUAACGGCCACCAAGGCGACGAUCCGUAACUGGUCUGAGAGGACGACCAGUCACACCGGAACUGAGACACGGCCCAGACUCCUACGGGAGGGCAGCAGUGGGGAAGUAUUGGACAAUGGGCGCAAGCCUGAUCCAGCGAUGCCGCGUGUGUGAAGAAGGCCUGC